UUGACCUCGGAUCAGGUAGGGAUACCCGCUGAACUUAAGCAUAUCAAUAAGCGGAGGAAAAGAAACCAACCGGGAUUGCCUUAGUAACGGCGAGUGAAGCGGCAAGAGCUCAAAUUUGAAAUCUGGCCUCUUUGGGGGUCCGAGUUGUAAUUUGGAGAGGAUGCUUCGGGGGUCGUCCCCGUCUAAGUGCCCUGGAACGGGCCGUCAUAGAGGGUGAGAAUCCCGUCUGGGACGGGUGGCGACGCCCGGGUGAAGCUCCCUCGACGAGUCGAGUUGUUUGGGAAUGCAGCUCUAAAUGGGUGGUAUAUUUCAUCUAAAGCUAAAUAUGGGCCGGAGACCGAUAGCGCACAAGUAGAGUGAUCGAAAGAUGAAAAGCACUUUGAAAAGAGAGUUAAACAGCACGUGAAAUUGUUGAAAGGGAAGCGCUUGCGAUCAGACUCGCCCGGGAGGGCUCAGCCGCCACUCGUGGCGGUGCACUCCCCCCCGGGCGGGCCAGCGUCGGUUUGGGCGGUCACUGAAAGGCCCUAGGAAUGUAGCACCCUCCGGGGUGUCUUAUAGCCUAGGGUGUCAUGUGGCCCGCCGGGACCGAGGAACGCGCUUUGGCUCGGACGCUGGCAUAAUGGUCGUAAGCGGCC
rnacentral:rRNA from 3 species